GAGGAAACACUCAAGAGGCUUCAGAGCCAGAAAGGAGUGCAGGGCAUCAUCGUGGUGAACACAGAAGGUGAUUUCUGUGUGCCCAGAGCUCGUUUCUGUCUUCUGGGGUAUGAGCUUACGUGAGUGACCAGUAAGAGGCAGAUGUUGGCGUUCCUACACCGGAGGUGCAGAGAAGGGAACUAGCCCGGUACAUCCCCUGGUGCUCAUUCUGAGCACGGGCGCUUUACUCCUUCAGACAGCCCUGGUACCUGCAUUUAUUGAGAAAACGCAUUCCCAUCAAGAGCACAAUGGACAAUCCCACCACGACACAGUACGCCAACCUCAUGCACAACUUCAUCUUAAAGGCUCGGAGCACUGUGCGUGAGAUUGACCCCCAGAAUGACCUAACCUUCCUUCGAAUUCGCUCCAAGAAAAAUGAAAUUAUGGUGGCACCAGAUAAAGACUAUUUCCUGAUUGUGAUUCAGAAUCCAACUGAAUAAGGCACUGUCUUGGCUUCCUGUGUCAUUCCUUAAUUUAAUGUCCCCCGAGAAUAAUAGCGUUAAUCAUGUCAGUGGGCACAUGUGGCUGCCUGGAGCCAUGCAGACCUUGGCAUU
rnacentral:lncRNA from 1 species